rnacentral:lncRNA from 1 species
GUGUGUGUGUAUAUAUAUAUAUAUAUAUAUAUAUAUAUAUAUAUAUAUAUAUAGAGAGAGAGAGAGAGAGAGAGAGAGAGAGAGAGAGAGAGAGAGAGUUGAGCUAGAAUACUAUCGAUAGCAAACGGGCUCCGUUGCCACCCAUUUGUUUUCGAUGAUGGAGCCUCCAAAUCGACGAUCGGCACCGUUGAACAUGAUCUAUACCACUUGAAGUGUUUAGAAAUUAAAUUUCAUACAUUUUCGAUAUUGUUCUCUUAUCCAUCGAGUGGACACAAAAAUAAACGGCUGAAAAUGAAUAUUCUUAAAAAAAUGAUGAUAAGAGUCUUGUAAUCAAGAUCAAGAGUAUAGAUCUUAUUUUAAAUAGUUUAAAGAAUUUUCUAAUAAAAAUUCAAUUGAUUUAGAUAUCUUUACGCCGUUAAACGAGAAAACGCCUCAUAUCAACCAUUAAAAUUACAAAAUUCGAAAACCUUU